CUCUCUCUCUCUCUCAUGUUAGACCAUUUCAGAAGGCAGUGUGCUCGCUGAUGAAAAGGCCAUGGUCAUUCUCUUAGGAAAUCUGCUGGGUCUGGCUCUGACAGUCCUCAGCUGCUCCAUAAAUCUUCCAUCAGUUCCAUCCAGCCAAAAAGAUGUCAUCACCGUUUUCUCCUAGCAACAAGGAAUAAAAGGGCCAUCUCCAACAAGACUGUCAGAAAAAUGAGGAGCAGAGCCCAAGAUGAUUGGAACAUCCUUUGUGACCCGAGAACCCUGCUACUGUUCCCAGAGCUCUGCCCCUUGACCCUACUGAGGCUCCAACAGACUGGCACCAGAUAUUUCGCUUCAGUGAUGCACAAGUGAUGACUCCAUCCUCCAUCUGCAGGGCCCAGCAACUUCAACAGAGAGUAUUUGGAAACAAAGUGAGGAGUGCUUGCAGUCUUUCCAGCCUUUCCUCCUGACACUCCCUCAACCCAGCCUGGCGGCUGUCUGCAGGGCAUCGUAAUAUCUGAGAUAAGCGAGUCAUCUAGAAGCGGUGUAAAGUGCACAGGAAGUCCUGCUCACACCUAUGCCUAUGUCCGUUUUCUAGAAGGAAUGUGAGCAUCCCACGGUUUGGUAGCCUCAGUUUCCCUGGAAUCCAUCACAUGUAUACUGAGAAAUAACCAUGUGUGAAUCCAGUCAGGGUGGCCCCCAAACACAUGUACUGAGCAUUUCUGUUUCCAGGGAUCCCCACUGCCAUACUGAACAUGGAUGGGUCACACUCAGGAAAGGCCAGCGCUGUGCUGUUAGGCUGCUGCCAUGCUGGACCCGAGGCUCUUUCAAGAGAGGCCCUUGGCACUAUCCACAGUAGCCACACUAUGGAAGCAACCUGUGUAACUAACCAUCGAUGGGCAGGUGAAGAGUGUGGACUGUAGAUACAUAGUAGAAUUUAUUCAUCCAUGAAGAAGAAGAAAAUUAUAUCAUUGCAGGAAAAUGGGUAGUAAAACAGAAGAGCAAGAUGAAAUGUUUUACCACAAAUGUGGAAACGAGAGGUUGAAGAAAAAGAUGACCUGGAUAUAGAGGAGAGGAGAGACUUUUAGGGAGCGGCAGAGCCUGGACCAGGGAGCAAAUGGACAGAAAGAA
rnacentral:lncRNA from 1 species